AACGAACGCUGGCGGCAUGCCUAACACAUGCAAGUCGAACGAGACCUUCGGGUCUAGUGGCGCACGGGUGCGUAACGCGUGGGAACCUGCCCUUAGGUUCGGAAUAACUCCCCGAAAGGGGUGCUAAUACCGGAUAAUGUCUUCGGACCAAAGAUUUAUCGCCUUUGGAUGGGCCCGCGUUGGAUUAGCUAGUUGGUAGGGUAAAAGCCUACCAAGGCGACGAUCCAUAGCUGGUCUGAGAGGAUGAUCAGCCACACUGGGACUGAGACACGGCCCAGACUCCUACGGGAGGCAGCAGUGGGGAAUAUUGGACAAGGGGCGAAAGCCUGAUCCAGCAAUGCCGCGUGAGUGAUGAAGGCCUUAGGGUUGUAAAGCUCUUUUACCCGGGAUGAUAAUGACAGUACCGGGGGAAUAAGCUCCGGCUAACUCCGU
rnacentral:rRNA from 1 species